GGAUUGUACUUUAAACUUGUACAUGCUGACUUAGUUAUGUUUGGGAUUUUCCACUUCUAGAGAAGCCACGUGGCUGUCUAUAUCCCAAUCUCCACCAACAGCCAGCGACCACCGGCCGGUGAAGCCUCUACAACAACAACCACAGCCACCUCCUGCCGACGUUCCCAAUGCCAGCAGCAGACGGCGGAGCAGCCAUACUUGUCUCCGCUCUCCCCGCCGGCGAUCACCACUCCAGCAAGUUCGGAGCCGCCGCUGCCAGUCAACAUCACCCCCCGUAGCCCUCUACCGCCGCCGCUACUCCUGUCAAACCCGCCAUAAAUACAUAAUCAAAUCCAUCCUGGGUUUGAUUUCAUGUGCAAUAUAUUAUCAUCUUCUAUCCUUUCAUUUUUUUCUAAGAUAGAUUUGGUGAUUGACGGAACUUGUUUGAGGUUUUUGAUCUAAUUUUUCAUAGUUUGAGUUUGUUAACUUGCUUAGAUUACCCUAUACUAAAAGCCCUAAAUUUUCCUGAUUUUCUAUGACACAAAAUUUGAAAGGCACCAAUUUGUUCACGACUUGCCCUCUUUACUUAAAUAAAUUUGAAAUGACUCGGUAUCUCAAUUAUUAAUUGAUAAUAUACGUUAUUUUUAAUUAUGGAAGGAAAUUAAGAUUGAUUGGUAUUUGCCUUUUCUUUUUUGCCCUUGACUGAAUGAUUUUAUAUGGAAAUAUUAUUGGUUGAUUGCACCAAAUAAUCUUCUUCCUUUUAUCAUCUGCAGCCCCUUUCACUAUAUAUGGACCCUCUUUUCCAUUAUAUUGGACAGACAUCUUCUCAGCCAUUACUCUCGAUAGAUAUAUUUCUCAAGUUCUCUGAUGCUGGCUGGAUUCUAACAAAGCAUUCGGCUUCUCUCAUCACCGCAAUUACUUUGUUUAUGUCUUUUGUCAUUUCAUUUGCUGCUAACUGGUGUUCUUGACUUGGCUUGGUUGAUUAUCUCUUUGUGCAUAAUGACAGUGUAAAUUAUCAUUUAUAUCAUCAGUUUAAAUUAAAUUGAGCAGUUUGCGCUCUUGAUUCCCAGCAAUGACGUGCUUUAGUGACUGUGAGACGCCAAACGCUUGCAAUGAGGUCAUGGAUAAUAAGUAAAAUUCAUGUGUCAACGCUCUCACCUUGAAAGUUCAUUCUCCGAUGAUUGCAGCCUAGCAAGAAGAAAAUAUCAGUAACACAGAGGAAAAGAAGUAGCAUAGAGGAAGGGGAGGAGAAAGGGAAUUGUGCAACUAUUGACUACUUCAAUAAGCUAUCUGCUGAUGUUAUAACCUCUCUUUUUCUAAGGUGCCCGCUGAGGUCAUUAUUCAUGUUAAGGUGCACAUCCAAGUACUGGAAUGACUUUAUUAUUAGUCCGUCCUUCCUUCAUUCUCACCUCAGACAAUCAACAGAAAAUGCCCCCAACUUCUUUUUAUGGAGAAGAACUUCUUGCACCGAUCAGAAAGGUCCAGGCUGCGAUUUGUUUCGGUCGACAUGGAUGGAAGCACGGAGGAGCUAUACACUGCCACAGUCCCUGAUGGGCAACUUGCUUGUAGCACAAUGCAAGUAUGCUAUGAUUUGGUUUGCCUUCCAACGGAUUGUCGUGCUUAUUUGUGCAAUCCUGCCAUGCAACAAUUGUGUGAAUUGCCGAAAUGUUCACCUUCUGCUACCCCUGGAUAUUACCAUUUGGGGUUUGGAUAUCUUCAGUCAAGGAAGGACAUUUUUUCUGUAGGGGUCCCCGGUGUCUUCCUGGCAAACUUCAGCUUGCUCAACUAAAAUGUGAGGUUCUUACUCUAAAUAGGGUUGGUGACAUUUCUUUGAAUAAAUGAAAGAAAUUUCAGACACAUCUUCUGAUCAUCCGUGCUUGCCAGGUCUGUUAGUUAAUGAAUGUAUGUAGUGGUUGACUCAAUGUUUUCCUUAUGCCCAUACUAAUUGAAUUAUUUCACUUGACUUUGAAAAUGAAAAAUUAAUGACUGUACACCCCAUUUGUAAGUAUUUUUGGCCUGGCUCUAAUGGAUUUGAAAGGGAUGCUUUGCUUGCCGGA